CGGGUAUGAACGAUUUAUCGUUCUAAGUGAGUGACGUCACACUGCCAAGAAAAGCUUCUAGUUAGAAUCAGACCGCCCGUACCGCAAACCGACACAGGUAGUCGGGUCGAGAAGACCAAGGUGAGCGAGAGAACUCUCGUUAAGGAACUCGGCAAAAUGACCCCGUAACUUCGGGAGAAGGGGUGCUGAUCGCAAGAUCAGCCGCAGUGAAUAGGCCCAGGCGACUGUUUAUCAAAAACACAGGUUUCUGCAAAAUCGUAAGAUGAAGUAUAGGGGCUGACGCCUGCCCGGUGCUGGAAGGUUAAGGGGAUGGGUUAGCGUAAGCGAAGCUCAGAAUUGAAGCCCCAGUAAACGGCGGCCGUAACUAUAACGGUCCUAAGGUAGCGAAAUUCCUUGUCGGGUAAGUUCCGACCCGCACGAAAGGCGUAACGAUCUGGGCACUGUCUCAACGAGAGACUCGGUGAAAUUAUAAUACCCGUGAAGAUGCGGGUUACCCGCGACAGGACGGAAAGACCCCAUGGAGCUUUACUGUAGCUUGAUAUUGGGUGUUUGUACAACUUGUACAGGAUAGGUAGGAGCCGUAGAAGUCGGGACGCUAGUUUCGACGGAGGCAUCGGUGGGAUACUACCCUCGUUGUAUGAACACUCUAACCCACGCCGGCAAUCACGGCGGGAGACAGUGUCAGGUGGGCAGUUUGACUGGGGCGGUCGCCUCCUAAAAGGUAACGGAGGCGCCCAAAGGUUCCCUCAGAAUGGUUGGAAAUCAUUCGCAGAGUGUAAAGGCAUAAGGGAGCUUGACUGCGAGACCUACAAGUCGAGCAGGGACGAAAGUCGGGCUUAGUGAUCCGGUGGUUCCGCAUGGAAGGGCCAUCGCUCAACGGAUAAAAGCUACCCUGGGGAUAACAGGCUUAUCUCCCCCAAGAGUCCACAUCGACGGGGAGGUUUGGCACCUCGAUGUCGGCUCAUCGCAUCCUGGGGCUGUAGUCGGUCCCAAGGGUUGGGCUGUUCGCCCAUUAGAGCUGUACGCGAGCUAGGUUCAGAACGUCGUGAGACAGUUCGGUCCCUAUCCGUCGCGGGCGCAGGAAAUUUGAGAGGAUCUGUCCUUAGUACGAGAGGACCGGGAUGGACAUACCGCUGGUGUACCAGUUGUUCUGCCAAGGGCAUCGCUGGGUAGCUAUGUAUGGAUGAGAUAAACGCUGAAAGCAUCUAAGUGCGAAACUCACCUC
rnacentral:rRNA from 1 species